CGAGCGGUAUGGAUAGCUUGCUAUCCAGAGAGCGGCGUACGGGUGCGUAACACGUGUGCAACCUGCCUUUAUCUGGGGGAUAGCCUUUCGAAAGGAAGAUUAAUACCCCAUAAUAUGGUGUCCGGCAUCGGUCGCCAUUGAAAGCCUCGGCGGAUAGAGAUGGGCACGCGCAAGAUUAGAUAGUUGGCGGGGUAACGGCCCACCAAGUCGAUGAUCUUUAGGGGUCCUGAGAGGGAGAUCCCCCACACUGGUACUGAGACACGGACCAGACUCCUACGGGAGGCAGCAGUGAGGAAUAUUGGACAAUGGGUGGAAGCCUGAUCCAGCCAUCCCGCGUGAAGGAUGACGGUCCUAUGGAUUGUAAACUUCUUUUGUACAGGGAUAAACCUGCCCUCGUGAGGGCAGCUGAAGGUACUGUACGAAUAAGCACCGGCUAACUCCGUGCCAGCAGCCGCGGUAAUACGGAGGGUGCGAGCGUUAUCCGGAUUUAUUGGGUUUAAAGGGUCCGUAGGCGGGCCUGUAAGUCAGUGGUGAAAUCUCAUAGCUUAACUAUGAAACUGCCAUUGAUACUGCAGGCCUUGAGUAAAUUUGAAGUGGCUGGAAUAAGUAGUGUAGCGGUGAAAUGCAUAGAUAUUACUUAGAACACCGAUUGCGAAGGCAGGUCACUAAGAUUUAACUGACGCUGAUGGACGAAAGCGUGGGGAGCGAACAGGAUUAGAUACCCUGGUAGUCCACGCCGUAAACGAUGCUAACUCGUUUUUGGAUCUUCGGGUUCAGAGACCAAGCGAAAGUGAUAAGUUAGCCACCUGGGGAGUACGUCCGCAAGGAUGAAACUCAAAGGAAUUGACGGGGGCCCGCACAAGCGGUGGAUUAUGUGGUUUAAUUCGAUGAUACGCGAGGAACCUUACCAAGACUUAAAUGGGAAUUGACAGAUUUAGAAAUAGAUCCUCCUUCGGGCAAUUUUCAAGGUGCUGCAUGGUUGUCGUCAGCUCGUGCCGUGAGGUGUUAGGUUAAGUCCUGCAACGAGCGCAACCCCUGCCAACAGUUGCCAUCAUUCAGUUGGGGACUCUGUUGGGACUGCCUACGCAAGUAGAGAGGAAGGUGGGGAUGACGUCAAAUCAUCACGGCCCUUACGUCUUGGGCCACACACGUAAUACAAUGGCCGGUACAGAGGGCAGCUACCUGGUGACAGGAUGCGAAUCUCGAAAGCCGGUCUCAGUUCGGAUUGGAGUCUGCAACUCGACCCUAUGAAGCUGGAAUCGCUAGUAAUCGCGCAUCAGCCAUGGCGCGGUGAAUACGUUCCCGGGCCUUGUACACACCGCCCGUCAAGCCAUGGAAGUCUGGGGUACCUGAAGUCGG
rnacentral:rRNA from 1 species